AGAGUUUGAUCCUGGCUCAGAUUGAACGCUGGCGGAACGCUUUACACAUGCAAGUCGAACGGUAACGCGGAGAGAAGCUUGCUUCUCUCCGGCGACGAGUGGCGAACGGGUGAGUAAUACAUCGGAACGUGUCCGCUCGUGGGGGACAACCAGCCGAAAGGUUGGCUAAUACCGCAUGAGUUCUACGGAAGAAAGAGGGGGACCCGCAAGGGCCUCUCGCGAGCGGAGCGGCCGAUGACUGAUUAGCCGGUUGGUGAGGUAACGGCUCACCAAAGCAACGAUCAGUAGCUGGUCUGAGAGGACGACCAGCCACACUGGGACUGAGACACGGCCCAGACUCCUACGGGAGGCAGCAGUGGGGAAUUUUGGACAAUGGGCGCAAGCCUGAUCCAGCUAUUCCGCGUGUGGGAUGAAGGCCCUCGGGUUGUAAACCACUUUUGUAGAGAACGAAAAGACACCUUCGAAUAAAGGGUGUUGCUGACGGUACUCUAAGAAUAAGCACCGGCUAACUACGUGCCAGCAGCCGCGGUAAUACGUAGGGUGCGAGCGUUAAUCGGAAUUACUGGGCGUAAAGGGUGCGCAGGCGGUUGAGUAAGACAGAUGUGAAAUCCCCGAGCUUAACUCGGGAAUGGCAUAUGUGACUGCUCGACUAGAGUGUGUCAGAGGGAGGUGGAAUUCCACGUGUAGCAGUGAAAUGCGUAGAUAUGUGGAAGAACACCGAUGGCGAAGGCAGCCUCCUGGGACAUAACUGACGCUCAGGCACGAAAGCGUGGGGAGCAAACAGGAUUAGAUACCCUGGUAGUCCACGCCCUAAACGAUGUUAACUAGUUGUUGGGAAGUAAUAUUCUCAGUAACGCAGCCAACGCGAGAAGUUAACCGCCUGGGAAGUACGGUCGCAAGACUAAAACUCAAAGGAAUUGACGGGGACCCGCACAA
rnacentral:rRNA from 1 species